GAUGAACGCUGGCGGCGUGCUUAACACAUGCAAGUCGAACGGAAAGGCCGAAGCUUGCUUCGGUACUCGAGUGGCGAACGGGUGAGUAACACGUGGGUGAUCUGCCCUGUACUUCGGGAUAAGCUUGGGAAAUUGGGUCUAAUACCGGAUAUGACGUUCUCUUGGAUGGGGUUGUGGAAAGCUUUUGCGGUUUGGGAUGAGCUCGCGGCCUAUCCGCUUGUUGGUGGGGUAUUGGCCUACCAAGGCGUCGACGGGUAGCCGGCCUGAGAGGGUGUACGGCCAGAUUGGGACUGAGAUACGGGCCAGACUCCGACGGGAGGCAGCAGUGGGGAAUAUUGGACAAUGGGAGCAAGCCUGAGGCAGCGACGCCGCGUGGGGGAUGACGGCCUUCGGGUUGUAAACUCCUUUCGCAAUGGACGAAGCCUUUUGGUGACGGUAGGUAGAGAAGAAGCACCGGCUAACUACGUG
rnacentral:rRNA from 1 species